AGGUGAAACUUUGGCUUUUGAUGUGCAAACAGCCCUAAAGUCUACAUCAAAAUCUGCCCGCAGUGUUUGUAUUUAUGUACAUACCCUUACAUGGUUUUGUUUGUUAAGGGCUAUACUCGGGACACAUGCGCACCCGCCAUCUCGUGGGAUGCAUGUGCAUUGCGCACCCGCCUGCCUUACCCGCCACACUGUGAUUAUCCUCUGUCAUGGUGCCGGCUGGCGUCAUUCACCUACUGCCCCCACUCCCGGGGUCUACAGUCACCUCCCACAGUCAUAAUGGUGUUACCGAAACGUUGUCUGACGGCGCUUGAAUAAAGCUACUUUUCAUCACUGCAUUUGUGAGUGCUACGGUGGUCCUCCCCUUUCUGUAUAUGCAAGAGGCCCUGGAACAGAGAUCCCACACAUACAGCACCUGCAUGCCAUCCAUACCCCUUGGAGUGCUGCUCCUUCUUGGUUUCUCUAGAUAGAUAGAUA